rnacentral:tRNA from 1 species
UGAUCCUCAAAGGUAAU